GCGCCGGUGGUGUAUCGGUAACAUUGGGUCUUCCCAAAAAAUCCCGUUGAUUUCUAUGGCCUAGCACCGGGUUCGACUCCCGGCCGGCGCA